AACGAACGCUGGCGGCGUGCCUAACACAUGCAAGUCGUGCGAGAAAGUUCCUUCGGGAGCGAGUAAAGCGGCGCACGGGUGAGUAACACGUAGGUAACCUGCCCCCCAGUCUGGAACAACUAGAGGAAACUCUAGCUAAUGCCGGAUGAGACCACGAUCCCUUCGGGGGUUGCGGCCAAAGAUGGCCUCUACUUGUAAGCUAUCGCUGAGGGAUGGGCCUGCGGCCAUUAGCUUGUUGGUGAGGUAACGGCUCACCAAGGCUGUGAUGGCUAGCUGGUCUGAGAGGAUGACCAGCCACACUGGGACUGAGACACGGCCCAGACUCCUACGGGAGGCAGGCAGUGGGGAAUAUUGCGCAAUGGGCGAAAGCCUGACGCAGCGACGCCGACGUGGGUGA
rnacentral:rRNA from 1 species